UACGUAGGGGGGCGAGCGUUGUCCGGAAUCAUUGGGCGUAAAGCGCGUGUAGGCGGCCCGGUAAGUCCGCUGUGAAAGUCGGGGGCUCAACCCUCGGAAGCCGGUGGAUACUGUCGAGCUAGAGUACGGAAGAGGCGAGUGGAAUUCCUGGUGUAGCGGUGAAAUGCGCAGAUAUCAGGAGGAACACCAAUUGCGAAGGCAGCUCGCUGGGACGUUACUGACGCUGAGACGCGAAAGCGUGGGGAGCAAACAGG
rnacentral:rRNA from 1 species